UACGUAGGGGGCUAGCGUUGUCCGGAAUCAUUGGGCGUAAAGCGCGUGCAGGCGGUUCGGUAAGUCCGCUGUGAAAGUCGGGGGCUCAACCCUCGGAUGCCGGUGGAUACUGUCGGACUAGAGUACGGAAGAGGCGAGUGGAAUUCCUGGUGUAGCGGUGAAAUGCGCAGAUAUCAGGAGGAACACCGAUUGCGAAGGCAGCUCGCUGGGACGUUUCUGACGCUGAGGCGCGAAAGCGUGGGGAGCAAACAGG
rnacentral:rRNA from 1 species